UUUAAUUUAGUUGAUUGAAUUUUACUGAAACCGAUUCUUUCAAGAGGAAGAUAGCAGUGAUGAAUUGAACUUGCGCUCUCACUGAUACCUAUCUCAUACUCGAACGUAUUAGAUAAUAGACCUCUCAGCUCAUAAACAGUUUCCAGUUAGGGCCCAGUCUAAUUCCCUCCCCCAAACAGUAAAUUUAUUUCGAUAUGUUGAACGAUUGAAAUAUUGGCCAGAACCCGAAUCUAACGGACUUCAUUUUCUCGUUCUCGUUCUUCCUGCUACAACAGUCCCCUGCUGUAGACCGACAGUUGUCGUAGACGAUAGCUGGAGGUGGCCAACGGCUGUUACUUGAAAGCUUCACUUUCUUUUCGAAUGAGAUCGUAGCAAAUUCGGCAGCCAACCAGCUCUGUUACUGUGUUACUACCACCGUCCAGCAGGUUACAUAAUAUGUCACACUAGAAAACAUUCUGGUUUGCACCGAACAACGGGAGUUAAUACCUCAGCUACUAAAAACCGUUUCCAGUGGUUCCAUUUUAGAUUCUGGAAGAUGAUAUUUGAUUGGGAUUCGGACUGAGAUGAUUCAAUGUGUCAGUAAUCCGCCCUGUAGCACUAGUUCACUCGCUGUGUGAAUCAGGAGCAAUUGAGAAGGGAUUUGGUGUGUUUCUGGAAUGUGCCCCCUCUGUGAACUGGUUAGGUUUGUAUGAGUGUGGUAAGACAGGUUACGAACAAAGGAUAAUCGGGUAAUACCAACCAUACACAAAUAAGUGAUACGACUUCGAUGAAAAUGCCUAGUAGAUUCGACGUUUCCAAUCUCAUAGCUAAAUUGCGAUUGUUUUGAUGUAAGCAUUUCCGGUGGCUGAUCGGGGUUGGUCAAGUGGUUAACGGUAGUUUUAGGAAUGUAUCUUACCUACCUGCUGCCGAGAUAGCAAUUGGUCAACUUAUUAUUAUUAUUAUUUAACUUUAUUAAUGAGGCUUUCAGCCUUGGGCUGGUUCGCCUCCACUUGGUCAACUUGCAUAAUGAACUGUGCAUCUAAUUGCAGCAUGUAGAACCAACCGAUGUUUUAUAAAUCAAUAUGUUCCUUGCCAUUAUUUAACUCUUUACAUCUGUGGUCAACAUGGGCACCUUAUACAUAUGCCAAAAAAUCCUUGUUGAAUCCUAAUCAUAGGGUAGGAUGCUUGGUUUUGAUUUAUUGAAAUUGCAACUUUUAAACAAUUUAGGAAUCUUGCUAGCAAAACCUUUUCAAAAUAGUCCUUUGAAUUGAUCGUAGUGAAACCGGGGUUAAUCCCGCCAGUCUCUCGUAUUUAGAAAACCGACACAAGCCGAUGGUGGACGUGGCAACGUCUAAGAUCCUCUUCGGCGAGUUAUAGGUCUGCUUUUCGAGGCCAUGACCCCUUCGGUUCUUUGAAUCAGCGCACAUCGGGGAUUUUGUCCGUUUUGCCAUUUUGUACCGUCGUCUGCAACGUUGAGCAUAGCUAGGGCAUGUCGCCCUUCCUCUGGUUCACCAGAUCUUUCUGUGAGCUUCGUCCAGGUCUUCCAGUGCACUUCCUUCAGAUCUUCCUGUGGAUUUCAUGCAAAUAGUCCUGCGAACUUUCUCCAAGUAUUCCUGUGGAUUUCCUCUUUAUCUUCCUGUGGACUUUCUUCAGAUCUUCCUGUGGAUUUUCUCCAGAUAUACCUGUGGAUUUACUCCAAAUCAUCCUGUGGACUUUCCCCUGGUCUUCUUGUGGACUUUCUUCAGAUCUUCCUGUGGCCUUCCUAUGUAGACUUUCUCCAGAUCUUCUUGUGGACUUCCUCCAAAUAUUCCUGUAGUCUUCCUACAAAUCUUCCUGUGAACUUUCCCCAGAUCUUCUUGUGGACUCUCUCCAGAUCUUGCUGUGGACUUCCUCCAGAUCUUCCUGUGGUCUUCCUCCAAGUCUUCAUGUGGAUUUUCCCCAGAUUUUCUUGAGGACGUCCGGUCCUCCAGAUCUGCGUUUUUCAAUCGACGGGUCGCAACCCAUGUGGUGGAUCGCAACGCACUGUGGGAAUUUUGUCUUUUGCAAGCCGAUUCAAUGUCAAACAUUGUAUACACAUACAUCAUCAUAUUAUAUACAUAUCCAUACAACAUCUGUAUUUAAUAUUGAUUGGUUAGGAGUUUAUUAAAUUUCAAAAGAAGAAAAGCAAGAUUGAGAAACGUUGCUCCAGAUCUUCCUGUGGACUUAAUCCAGAUCUACCUGUGAGAUUCCUCCAGAUUGUCGUGUAGACUUCUUGCUGAUCUUCCUGUGGACUUCCUCCAGAUCUUCCGGUGGACUUCCUCCAGAUCUUUUAAUGAACUUCAUCCAUAUCUUCGUGUUUGCUUCUUCUAGAUCUUCGUGUGGACUUAUUUUAGAUCUUCUUUUAUCCACCUCUUUCUGUGGACUUACUCCAGAUGUUCCUGUUAGUUUUCUCGAGAUUUUCCUGUGGACUUCCUCCAGAUCUUUGUGUUGACUUCAACUAAAUCUUCAUACCGACUUCCUUCAUAGCUUCUUCCAGAUUUUCCUGUGGAUUUAUUCAAGAUCUUCCCGUGGACUUCCGCUAGAAGUACUAUCAUAUUUGAAAAUUUGAACUUCCUUUGUUACAUUUUAUAUUCACAGGCCAUCCUUUUGGACGCUCUACAAACUUUCUUUUAAUAUUUCUGAUUUUCUUGAAUCUCAACUCGUUUGAACUUGCUGUUGUACUUUGAUGAUCUUUGAACAUCCCGUUGGAAGUACCUCGAACAAACCGUUGGAAGUACCUCGAACAAACCGUUGGAAGUCCCUUCAACUUUCAAAUGAAAGCUCUUUGAACUUCCUUUUGGCAAUUUCCAGUUGAAAGAGCCUUGAACUUCCGGAGAAAGGUGGUUGAACUUUCUGGAGGAAGUUGCUUGAACUUUCCGCAGAAAAUUUGAACUUUUAGAAGGAAGCUGCUUGAAUUUUCCGUAUGAAGCUACUUGAUCUUUUCGGAGGAAGUUGCUUGUCUCCGGAGGAUGUUUCAUGAACUUUCCGGAAGAAAAUGCUUAAACUUUCCGGAGGAAGAUGGUUGAACUUUCCGGAGGAAGGUGGUUGACCUUUCAGGAGAAAGGUGUUGCUUGUCUCCGGAGGAAACUGCUUGAACUUUCCGGAGGAACGUGGUUGAAAUUUCAAGAGAAAAGUGGUUGAACUUUCCGGAGUAAAGUGGUUGAACUUUCCGGAGGAAGUUGCUAGAACUUCCCAAAGGAAGGUGGUUAAACUUUGCGGACGAAGGUAGUUAAACUUUCCGGAGGAAGCUGGUUGAACUUUCCGAAGGAAGCUGCUUGAACUUUCCGAAGGAAGUUGCUUGAACUCUCAGGAGGAUGUUUCUUGAACUUUCUGAAGAAGCUGCUUGAACUUUCCGGAGGAAGGUGGUUGACCAUUCCGAAGGAAGUUGCUUGAAUUUUCUCGAGGAAGUUGCUUGAACUUUUCGGAGGAAGUUGCUUCAACUUUUCGGAUGAAGGUAUUUGAAAUUUCUGGAGGAAGUUGCUUGAACUUUCCGAAGGAAGUUGCUUGAACUUUCCGAAGGAAGUUGCUUGAACUUUCCGGAGGAUGUUUUAAAAACUUUCCGAAGGAAGUUGUUUGAACUUUCCGGAGGAAGGUGGUUGAACUUUCCACAGGAAGGUGGUUAAUUUUUCUGGAGGAAGUUGCUUGAACUUUUCGGAUGAAGGUAUUUGAAAUUUCCCGAGGAAGUUGCUUGAACUUUUCGGAUGAAGGUAUUUGAAAUUUCCGGAGAAAGUUGCUUGAACUUUCCGAAGGAAGUUGCUUGAACUCUCCGGAGGAUGUUUUAAGAAUUUCUGGAGAAAAGUGGUUGAACUUUCCGGAUGAAGUUGCUUGAACUAUACGGAGAAAGUAGGUUGAACUUUCCGGAGAAUGGUGGUUGAACUUUCCGCAGGAAGGUGGUUAAAUUUCUGUAAGAAGUUGCUUCAACUUUUCGGAUGAAGGUAUUUGAAAUUUCCGGAGGAAGUUGCUUGAACUUUCCGAAGGAAGUUGCUUGAACUUUCCGGAGGAUGUUUUAAAAACUUUCCGAAGGAAGUUGUUUGAACUUUCCGGAGGAAGGUGGUUGAACUUUCCACAGGAAGGUGGUUAAUUUUUCUGGAGGAAGUUGCUUGAACUUUUCGGAUGAAGGUAUUUGAAAUUUCCCGAGGAAGUUGCUUGAACUUUUCGGAUGAAGGUAUUUGAAAUUUCCGGAGAAAGUUGCUUGAACUUUCCGAAGGAAGUUGCUUGAACUCUCCGGAGGAUGUUUUAAGAAUUUCUGGAGAAAAGUGGUUGAACUUUCCGGAUGAAGUUGCUUGAACUAUACGGAGAAAGUAGGUUGAACUUUCCGGAGAAUGGUGGUUGAACUUUCCGCAGGAAGGUGGUUAAAUUUCUGUAAGAAGUUGCUUCAACUUUUCGGAUGAAGGUAUUUGAAAUUUCCGGAGGAAGUUGCUUGAACUUUCCGAAGGAAGUUGCUUGAACUUUCCGGAGGAUGUUUUAAGAACUUUCCGAAGGAAGUUGCUUGAACUUUCCGGAGGAAGGUGGUUGAACUUUCCGGAUGAAGUUGAUUGAACUAUACCAAGAAAGGUGGUUGAACUUUCCGGAGAAUGGUGGUUGAACUUGCCGCAGGAAGGUGGUUAAAUUUCUGGAGGAAAUUGCUUGAAGUUUUCGGAUGAAGGUAUUUGAAAUUUCAGGAGAAAGUUGCUUGAACUUUCCGAAGGAAAUUUGCUUGAACUCUCCGGAGGAUGCUCAUGCUGAUGUUCAUGAUGUUUUUCCGGAUGAAGUUGCUUGAACUAUACUGAGAAUGGUGGUUGAACUUUCCACAGGAAGGUGGUUAAAUUUUCUGGAGGAAGUUGCUUGAACUUUUCGGAUGAAGGUAUUUGAAAUUUCCCGAGGAAGUUGCUUGAACUCUCCGGAGGAUGUUUCAUGAACUCUCCGGAGGAUGUUUCAUGAAGUUCCUUUAAAUUCCCGUAGGAAGUUCAUUUAAAUUCCAUUCGAAAGUUUCUUUAACUUCUCUCUGGUCAUGGUUUGAACUUCACUCUGGUAGGAAGUUCCUAGAGUUCCUUGAACUUCGAUUCGCAAGUUGUUUGAACAUCCCCAAAAGAAGGUUCUUAAGCUAUCCGUAGGAAGUUCCUUGAGCUGGGUUUACGGCAUUUUGGGGCUACAAAGAAACAUAUCCUAACCACUACCGUUACCAAUCGACCGUCCAUUAGUGUACAUCCGUUGCCUGCGGUGGAAUCUCUUCAAAGAAAGGUAAAAUGAAACGUGGCGUAAGUUGAAACCGAUUUAUUGAUUCAUAUGAUGCACACUUCAGCCCCUUUAGUGCGCAUCGAUCGAUUGGUGUAAUAAUAUAUAU